UUAGGUAACUAUUGCAGUGAGGUCCACCUCUUCCCAUUCCGAACAGAGAAGUUAAGCCCACUAGCGCAGAUGGUACUGCCACACCAGGUGGGAGAGUAUGUCGUUGCCGUUU
rnacentral:rRNA from 1 species